GCGGUAGUAGCUCAGUCGGUAGAGCAUCAGCUUCCCAAGCUGAGGGUCGCGGGUUCGACCCCCGUCUACCGCU
rnacentral:tRNA from 2 species